CAAAUGUCAGGCUUCAGUUUUAAUUAAGUAAUUAACUAAAAUGUUAUAUAGAAUAGACAAGAAAAAAGUUCAAUUGUGUAAUUUAAUUUUAAUUGAAUGAAAUAAGUUAGUGAGGACUAGCUGCUGUUUCAUGAGUUUUCAUAGGGCAGAGAAUGGGUUUUAACAGCAGAGACGGGGGGUAACAUUGAGUCUAAUUCUAUUUAAUUAGCAAUGCCCAACCUUUCUCAACAGAAAAGCAAUACUCUUAUUAAAUAAUACCGAAAGUGCAAUGGAUUUUGGCCCAAAGUAAUGAAGAUGUGACCUCUACAAAUAAACAUUUCCCGAGAGUGGAUUCUGCAUGCAUCCAAAAGGGUAUAUUUGAAAAACAAGUUAAAAAGUAACUACAUCACUUCCAGUAACUUCAGGACCUACAGCAGCAUAGACUUCCCCCACUACCCCCACCACAGCCAGAGAUGAAAUAAAGUGCUUCAAGAAGCCGACUCCAAGAUUCCUGGUUGUCAAAAAUGGAAAGAGGAACGCUACAAGUUAAGUUACUGACGCUCUCUGUACUCUACAUACCUCAGAAGUCUGAAAGAACCCAAGGUUACACAGCAUAGAGAUAAAGAUGUGACGUAAAAGGAUAAAUCCAAAUAUGCAACCACUGGAC
rnacentral:lncRNA from 1 species